GAACGCAGUUUUGUUCUGUUAAUUCCGCCCUCGCCCCAAUCAAACCAGGUUCUAGAGUGGGAGCCUCACAGCGGGGAGUCAAUUUCAAACAUAAUGAGGCCCCUCCAGUGGAGACCAGUCUCAGCGGAGCCUCGUCUUAAUGGGAUGGGGCCAGCGGGAUGUGACCAGAUCCCCUUGCCACCUCCCACUUCUUCCAGCUUUAGUCUGCCCUCCCGUGUCCUUCCCAGAAGCGCGGCACGUGUGAAAGAAACAUUCGGCAGGGGGCAGGAGGGAGAGGGUCUUUGUCCACUCCUGCCCAGGGCCCUCCUGGAGGGCAGCAGCUGUGCAUUUAGGCGUCAAAGCCAGGUCUGUAGGCUUUUCUUAUGAAUUUACAAAUGGAGACCUGGCCGCAUCUGAGGAUUUAAUUGAAAAGAUAAUCACAGGGGAGCACAGAGCCACUGUCUCCUCAUGAGGGGAGAAGGCCACAACAUUGCCCUUUGAGAGCGGAAAUGUGUUCCGUGAAAUCUGAAGAUGGCAUUGCGUGAGGCAGGAGCGGAGCGGGGAGGCGGGGCCGGCGGGGAAGGAUGCAGGAUGCUGGCCCCGAUAGCGGGCGGGUGCAACGCUGACCUGUUCCCAACCCAUCUGUCCCUGCAGGAACCCUGUCCUGGGGUGAGAAAAAGAUGCCCUUGCCUUUCCCUAGCUGUUCUCUCCACCUAGAAAUCUUCUCCCUUGGGUUCUCACAGGCAGCCCCCUCAUUUGGGUCUCAGCUCAGACUGUUGCUCCUGGUAGAGGCCCCACGACUACUCUGUCUGACAUGGCACCUCUUGUCACUACUCCCACCCACUCUCAUCUGCCUCCUCCUCAUCACUCUGACAUCACCUCCCUGCAAGCGUGAGAUGUUUGCAGAGAACCCUCCAGGUCCUGGGCACUGCUUUAGGUGAGGAUGCAGCAAUGAGCUCGUGCAGGUGAAGCAGUGGAGUGGUCAGAGCGUCACAGGCCUGCCUCCCACUGCCUUGUGGGCUCCAUGAAGGCUGGGGCUGGGGCCAGGGCUUUGUCUGUCCCCAAGCUCAGUCCUGACUGUUCUUCCACUGUUUUUCCUCCGAGCCCUGUCUCUCCAAUCAUCGCCCAGAUCAUCACCUGUGUCUCUCCAAUCCUCGCCCAGACCAUCACCUGUGUCUCUCCAAGCAUCGCCCAGACCAUCACAGCAGCUACCGGGUUCUCCUUCCUAGAAUAGCUCACAUGGCUCUCCUUGGCCACAAGGCAGAGCCAAUCUCUUGCCUGGCAGUUAAAGCCUCCAUGAAGAACCCAUGCAGCUAUCCAUCCCUAUCCCACCUGGAUGAAUGGAUGAGUGAAAUAAUGGGAGGAUGGCUGGAUGGAUGGAUGGAAGGAUGGAUGGAUGGAUCGAUAAGUGAGAGGAUGGAUGUGUGGGUGGAUGGGAAGGUGGGAGAAUAUGUAGAUGGAUGGAAGGGAGGACGGGAGGAUGGCAGGAUGGGAGGAUGGGAGGAUGGAUGGGUGGAUGGACCGAGGGAUG
rnacentral:lncRNA from 1 species